UGAGACUUCUUUUUACACGGAGUUAU
rnacentral:piRNA from 1 species